CUAAUCGCCAGCGCCGUCCAAUCAACGUACGUCAUCUACGAUUUGCUGCCCUGCAGGUCCAACCUCCCUCCUGGUUUUCCCCUUGGUGAGGAAGGGCAGACCGGAAAAGCAAGGGAGGUUGAGGCCGAAGAGGCGCCAUGUUGGUUAAGGGCACGGCCGUGGCCGUUCAGGACUUUUUCAGAAGAAAGCUAGCAAACCUCGAGCGUUUUCACAUGUUCCAGAAGCCUCUCUUGGCGUAGCACUGAAGGGUUUUUCCAUGACGCUUCCCGGAGAGGCCGGGCGUGAGAAAGCAGCCCUGGGGUCGUAAACUUCGCGGACGUGGCCGUGUACUUCUUCUGGGGGGCUGGGGGUGUCGGCGGCCAGCGCAGAGCGCCCUGUACCGGGACGUGAUGUGGGAGACGUACGGCCGCCUGGGCGCUCUCGGAUUUUUAGGCCCCAAAUCCGCUUUUAUUUCUUGGGUGGAAGGAGAGGUGGAGGCCUAGGAUCCAGAGGGUGAGACCCCAGCAGCUGUCAUCAGAGACGGGGGAAAGGAUCCGGGGAUGACAGUGAGGAAAAAGAACUGAACAAGAGUCCAAAACAGAGAGACGGCGCUUGAGGAAGUGUCUCUCGAGGAGUGGUUACCAUCCAGCAGGCCACCUGGCCCCAGUCACAAAGCCACCUGCCCAGAGCUCUACUGGACUCUGGGCAGAGCCCAAUCUAGCCUUGGUUCAAGGACAGUACAACCCACAAAUCAGCCUACGCUUGCCCAAACUGUGGCCACAACUUCAGCUACCCCUCCCUCCUGGCCAACCUGGGGAGCGGCCCUUCCGGUGUGACCAAUGCCAGGCUCGUCUCUCCCAGUGCAAGCAUCUGCUCCAGCAUCAGCUCUUCCACACAGCAUUCUGCUUUCUGGACUGUAGCUCUCCUGUUCCUCAGAGAUGAGGUCCCCUGGACGCAAGAGCCUAUGGAAGGUGCCUGCACCCUCUCCGAGGACCCUCUGAAAUAGAGGGCACAACUUGGGCCCAUCCCCAGUGGGGGAAGCUCAUCCAAGGAUUCUUUUAGCCAGUGCAGAUAUUCGUAUGUUCUCUGGACUUUAUACCUUCUGAAUAAAGAUGUGUUUUUGGACCACAGCAGGCGGAAACAAAAUGCUGGGACUUUUGUUUAAAAGAAAGAGUAAAUUACCGGUGAUAAGGGUUGAAAUCAACGCCUAGUAUCUCCAGUCUAAUUUUUACUGUAACGUUUGUAUGUGUCAACAGUUAAAAGGUGUCUUUGUGACCCACUUAGAUCUGCUAGCCCUAUUUUCAAUUAGGAAACUCUUGAAGGAAUAAGCAAGGAAGUGGAUGGGACUAAGCAUGUCUGCAUGCCAGGCAUGGUGCCAGGGGAUUCAAAUAGCUCUUUGAACAAAAGACUGCUCUCAAAACCCCUGGGUUCCAAAAAUGAUUAUUUUCUAAAAUGUUUAUGUAUUUUGAGAGAGAGAGAGAGAGAGAGAGAGAGAGAGAGAAAGCAUGUGCAGGGGAGGGGCGGGGGGGGGCGGGGAGAGAAUACAAAGCAGGCUCCACGCUCAGCAGGGAGCCUGACACGGGCUCGACCCAUGACUAACAAUAUCACAACCUGAGCCGACAUCAAGAGUUGGAUGCUUAACUGACGCUUAACCACCCAGGAGCACCCCCCCCCGACCCCCAAAUGAUUAUAACUGGGUGUUAUUUUACCUCACCAUAUAGCCUCUCCUGAAUUGGUAGACCUGGAUUCCAGGUUGGGCUCAGUCCCAACUAGCUAUGGGGCCUUAAGCAUGUCAUUCAACCUUUCUAAGCCUCAGUUGUCUCACUUGUCAACCUCACAGGGUUGUUGGAGAUAAAACGUGAAAGCACCUAGCAUGUCUUCAUAGUCUGAAGUGACUGAGUGCCCUCGUGUCAUUGUAUGACAUUUUUUCAAACAUUCAAAAGAGUUGUAAGAAUUUUAUGGUAAACACUCAUGCCCAUCGUUUAGAUUCCACAAUUAAUCCAGAUUCUACAAUUACGCUUUAUCACAUGUCGAUCCAUCUCUCUAGCCCCUGUCCGUUCAUUUAUGCGUCGUAUUUUAUGUCACAGUAAGUUGCAGACCUCAUUACCCAUCAUUCCUCAGCUCUUCAACAUAAGGCUGAGCUGUACUCAAGAAACUUCGGCGUUCUAACUAAAGCUAUCUCCUGCAUGUUUUAUGAAUUCUCAUAGUCCUAUGUGAUCGAGAUUCUGGAACAACAUGUUAGUGGGUAAUCAAAACAUUUUGAAAGCGAGAGCAUCUUUGUAUUUUUAUGUGUGGCAGGAAAAACAACAUGACCUCAGCCACUUAUGAUGGAGCACAGUUUUAGUCUUGAAGGUGUGUUUCAAUCCGAUUAGUUAACACCCGAGUUUAUUGUUUAGCUCUAUCUCCUUCUUAAGUUUUCUCUAUCCCUCGUGCAAAAAGAAGUGGUUUAUAACAUUGUACAUGAGUACACAAAAGUAUUUUUUGGUCCAGGUGAAAUCCUUUGUAGUUUCUCUUUAGGUAAAGUUGAUUCUCUGCUUGGAAGGAGACUCCUAUCUGGAGGCACAUUUUUCCUUACUCUAUUUCUACACUAUUCAUCACUGAGUGCAGUGAGGCCCCUCCAGGACUCAAGGUUUGUUUUUUUUGUUUUGUUUUGUUUUAAUGUUUAUUUUUGAGGAAGAGAGAGAGAGACAGAGUGAGCAGGGGAGGGGCAGAGAGAGAGGGAGACACAGAAUCCGAAGCAGGAUCCAGCACAGAGCCUGAUACGGGGCUGGAACUCACGAGCCAUGAGAUCACGACCUGAGCCGAAGUCGACGCUUAACCGACUGAGCCAUCCAGGUGCCCCUAAAGUUUAUUUUUUAAAUUAAAAAAAAAAUUCUUGGGGCGCCUGGGUGGCUCAGUCGGUUACGCGUCUGACUCCGGCUCAGGUCGAGAUCUCCCGGUCCGUGAGUUUGAGCCCCACGUCGGGCUCCGUGCCCAUUGCUCGGAACCUGUUUCGGAUUCUGUGCCUGCAGCUCUCUCUGACCCUCUCCCGUCCGCUGUCUGUGCCAAAAAAAUAAAUAAAGAUUAAAAAAAAAAUUAAAAAAAUUCUUUUUAAUGUUUAUUUUUAAGAGAGAGAAACAGAGUGGGGGAGGGGCAGAGAGCGAGAGGAAGACCUAGAAUCUGAAGCAGGCUCCAGGCUCUGAGCUGUCGCACAGAGCCGGACAUGGGGCUCAAACUCGUGAACUGUGAGAUUGUGACCUGAGCCAACGUUGGACACUUAAAUGACUGAGCCACCUAGGCGCUCCCCCGGGACUCAAGUUUAAAAAAAUUAUAAAAUAAGCAAGUAACUGUUGAGGUGAUAUCAGUGGAAGGCACACCAUAAGCCACAAGUAUUCCAGUGAAAACCAGCAAAGGUAGGGCAAGAAAAUACAAACACGGAAAAAGGCACUAGCUUGGACAGCAAUGAAUAAUUUGUGAACACAAGGGCGGGGGGCGGGGACAGCAGGUGCUAGCGCAGGCAGGACAGCCAAGCAAGGAGUGGUUCCAAGACCAGACAGUGGACUGCCGUCAACAGAGAGGAGGGUUUUGUUAAUCCAAGGACCAAAUGGCACCUGCCUGAUUGCAGGAAUAUUCCCAAUGGGAUAAAGCUAUUUAGUAUCUGUAGUCCAAUGCCACAAACCAUUAAGCUGAUCCAUCUUGGCUGAAAAACUAGGAGGAUUUUGAAUCUAGGAGGCAGAGGAUACGAUCCAGGACAGUGGGGAAGUAAGAUCCUGGACGACAGCUAAGGCCCAGUCCAGUU